GGAGCCCACAGGCCAGCUGUGUCUUUUCAGCUUCCACCAACCUGACAAGCCAAAUAGACAGUGUUGGGUGCAAAUAUUCUCUCACAGACCGUGCCUGGAAGACUGUGAGGCCAGGUGACCUUGGAAGGCCACAAAGCAGUAGCAGUUCCUAUCCAACAGCGGUGGCCAUGGAGCCAAGGCCCCUCAACCUCUUUGCUGAUGCUUCCUGGAACCUCAGAGGAUCCUGGUCAGCAGAACACAGGCAUCGCAGUCUUAACCCGCGGACAUGGUGCACGGCUGCCACCUGGCGGCCGCCUGGCCAGAAACACACAGAUCCAACAGGCCUCCCUUCGGAAUCCUUGCUGACUGUCCCAGGUGAGCUCACACCUGCUUUCCCAUUUCCCACACUGGGUAUCACACCACCUUGUGAUAGAAAAAAAUCUACAGAGUUGUUUGUUAGGAGAAAGAAUUCAAACGAGCCUGUCUAUCAAGAGUCCGGGAAGUCCCCUCAAAGGCAUGUGGGGUGUUUUCCACUUAGUAUCGGCUUUCCUGAAGAUUCCUGGGAGAAAUGGAGACUAGAUGCCACUCAGAGCAGCAGGAGCUGGUCAACCCUGAAGAAUCUGUGACCAUGGCAUAAACCUUCAGUAGCCACCCAAGAAGUCACAAGGUGCAGGAGCAGAGAUGUGGAUCCUGGGGACCUGCUGGGGUAUAGCAGUCCUGGCCCCUUGAGAUCCCCUCGACCACCGCUUGCUUAGAGGUAAAGAGCUAGGCUAUGAGCUGACAGGAACUAGGUAUUUCUGGGCCCCAUUCUGGGGCUGUUUGGUUCAUUCCUCCUUGGACGCCUCAGAAGUUGCACACCUGCCUCUAAGCAUCUCGGAUAUUCCCCCAACUCUCCAGAAGCCUCGCAUGAGCAACUUAAUACAGACACCUGCCAGACGAUCAGCAGAAAUCCCCACCACAUGGCCUGGCCUAGCUCAAAAGGAAAGUCCCUCACCAUGUGACUUCCCCAACGGCAUUGUGGGGUGUGGGGAGUGUCCCCACCAGCCUUUAAGGGGCAGAUGGCCAUCUUGUGCUCCAGGGGUGACACGCUGGGGACAUCAUCUGUGCAGUGCCAUUCUGAGGGCAGACAGCCUAGUCUAACCCUUUCAGUUGACUCAGUGACUGUCUCCAGCAGCCCCAGGCAAUCCCCUUCGAGCCUUGGGGGUUGGGGGUUCAGCUUGGUUGCAGGUGGGUUUUGACCUAACUGCAGAAAAGAACUUUGCCCACUAGUUGUUCCAGCACACUGUGAUGAGUGGACAGCCAUCUGAGAACGUCACCUUUCAAUUCAGUGCAGCUGGGCCAGCAAUCUUCUCCACGGAGUGCUGUCCUCAACCUUGUCCAGAGAAGCUUCUCUGCAGUGAGCAGCAGUAAUGCAGAGCAAUGCAGCAGUAAUGCAGAGACUCCUAACUGGUCAGAGUGCUGACAGCAAGUGACUGUGGAGUGAUCAGCCCCAACUGGAGCAUCUGUAUCAAGCCCAUCCGGUGGCCCAGGGAACAUCAAGGCAGAACAAGUGCAGGAGUUGGGGAUGGGGAGGUGUGUUAUGGAGCGCUGCGUUCUUGACCAGACACAGCCACUGUGCUCAGGGAGUCACGGCAGCCCAUAACCAAGCCAGUAAGAUCAGUCUUCAUUCCGAAAGGCAGCACUGACUGGACUCAGUUACAAAAAUGAAAGGAAAAAAAAAGUGGAGGAGGGGCAUGCAGGGGCAGGGUGCAGGACAGGGGGUGGGGAUGGGUAUAAUUGAGAUACAUUACAAACAUAUGAGAUUGUAAAGAAUAAAUAAAAGUCUAUAAAAGUAAACUUCACGUAAGGCAACUUACUGAGUUUAGUGUUUAAGCAGAAAGACACUCUUAAAGAUCACAUUCAGGGAAGGGACACACCUGCCUCCACAGUGGCUCUGCACAGACCCGGGGGCUCUGUAAGCAGGUUCAGGGCUUGAGGAAGACAUGAGCUGCUGCACCCUCUUUGCUGGUCCACAUGAAGCUGUCCUUGAGGAGGCUUUCUGUGGGCACAGUGUGUGUGUGCGCGCGCGCUGGAAGAAGUGGUUCUUAUAGUGAAAAAGCAGGUCCCCCCAGAGGAUGCACAGAAGGCUGGUUCAACACACCACGGUAAUCUGCAGGAGGUGUUUCUCAGAAAGGGAGCACUGUCCUAAUGCAGGAAACAUCAGUUGUCAAAAACUCCUGGGUCAGCCCUGGAGUAAAGCUCAGAGCUAGGUAUGUGUGGAAGGGGAGAUGUAGCCAUCCUGUCUCAGAGUCACAACUGAGCCUAGAUCUAUGUGACUGAUGCCCGGACUCCUUCCCAGGUAAGUACUCUGAUGCAAGCAGGGGUGGGAAGCACAGAACGCUGGAAAAAGCCCUUUCCUGCCAUCACCAGCUUCCAGCUCAGAACCAGGGCUGCAGGCCUUGGGCCUCCGAGAUGAAGUCUUUUCCCUAGUUCACAUUCUCUGUAAUCACUCAUUGUAUCCUUGUUUUCAUAACCAGGAGUGUGCUGGCUGUAGUGGGUGCCUCGAACCAGCCUCGCUUGGAGAGUGCUGUCCAUUCCUGUUAAGUCUUGCUGGCCCUUCUGAGGCUUCCAAGUCACCGGUCUUAGGUAGUGGGUAUGUUUGUGGUGGACACUCAAUUCCAAUCCUGGAAUGCUCUCCCCUGAUAUGAAACCCCUGCUCUGGCAGCCUAGGACAGCCUCACUCCCAUUGGACAGACUUUGAGGGUGACAUGGAGGUGGCAGCUGGUCUGAACCCCCAGUCUGUGAUGGACCCUGUCCCUGGGGUGCUCCUGGCUAAAGAGCAGAGAGGAAACUCAGGAAGUGAGUCUCCCAGAUACCACCUUCAGAAACCCAGGUUAGGCUACUGGUUGUGUUUGGGGGAGAACUGGGGUGAAGUGGGGAGGUGGGAUCUGGACAGAGCUCUCCUUUGCUUACUCUAACAAUCUCUCUGGCCCUCGCAACUGCCAUACAGGAG
rnacentral:lncRNA from 1 species